CAGUCGCCACGGUAAUACGUAGGGUGCAAGCGUUAAUCGGAAUUACUGGGCGUAAAGCGUGCGCAGGCGGUUUGUUAAGACAGAUGUGAAAUCCCCGGGCUCAACCUGGGAACUGCAUUUGUGACUGGCAGGCUAGAGUAUGGCAGAGGGGGGUGGAAUUCCGCGUGUAGCAGUGAAAUGCGUAGAUAUGCGGAGGAACACCGAUGGCGAAGGCAGCCCCCUGGGCCAGUACUGACGCUCAUGCACGAAAGCGUGGGGAGCAAACAGGAUUAGAUACCCCCGUAGUCCCUGUCUCUUAUAC
rnacentral:rRNA from 1 species